AGAAUUAUGGCCUUGUCGUUCGAUUUUCGAUGCGACGAUCUCCUCGAGCGACUGCCUGUAGCAUUGUGUCCUUUUUCCAGCCUGUAUUGAGGAAUCGAUUCGCUUUAUCGGGCAACAAUUACGACACCGCAACGGCAAUCUCCAUGUUUCAAAGGAUGACUUCGACGUAGAAACGAUUAUCUUGAUCAGAAUAAUUAGCAGAUUGCUCAGUUGUCGUGGGAGUAUGGAAAAGGGGAAGAAGAUAAUGAAAGGAUAUUUGGAACUGUUCAAUGUCCGAUCAUUUUCAUUGUCCAUUGUGUAACGGACGAGGAAUUUGCGGAAUGUCUUUCCACGAAACCUCGUGUCACAUUUGGAUUCGAUACAUCGAUGGCCAAUGUGCUUGAAGAAGGGUUGCUGCAAGGAUACAAGGAUAUAAGAAUGGCUGGAUCGGUACCGGUCGUGUCUCAGCCACAAUAUUAUUCUUCCAGCCGAUACAACGUUUGGAUGGAAUGGGAAUGGCGAAAGAAACGUUGGUAACAUAUUGGAGGGGUCGCGGGAUACGUCCAAGUCGCUCGUAUUAUGCCUUCUCGCCAGUACAUACACGGCCACGUGCCUAUGCGUGACACGUUUACGCUUGGCUGGCCGCAUUUCCACUCUCUCCCUCCGUAUCGGCCCGUAUUCAUCUCCGAUUUCUUGUUGGGGUGCGCGCCGAUUGCGUUUCCACUUUAACCGUGCGUCGUUCAACGUCUAUCAACGGGUACACGAGCUGCAUGCUACUUAAAUCCGCACGAAUCCAGCCGUCUGAUGAACAUGCUCAAUAUGAUAGUCUUUUUUAUUUGCGAACAUCGAUAUUUUGUAUGGCGUUGAGUAGGGUAUUUAAGAAGAGGAUACGUUGUAUCUUUGAUCUAGAGAGUAUUUAAGAAGGGAAAUGUUUGUUUGGUAUUAGACGACAAAUCGUUUAUGUAAAGUUUAGAGUUCUGUUGUUUUAGCAAACGACGAGCAGAUUAAAAGAUUCGUAAUUUAUUCAAGGUAUUCAUACAAUGACAUUGUACGCGAUUGCGAUUGAACCAAAUCCUUAGAAGCUACUUUAAUAGGGAAUCGUUUAAUUUUGACUUUUGAUUUCGCCUUUUUAUUAUCUCGCAUUUGUACAACUCGUCGCGUCAUUUUGUACAACUUUCGUCGACGAACUAUUAUCAGUUGUGACAUUUAUUAACGCUAUUUAAAACACGUAGCAUACAAACUUAUAAAUCUCGUUUGUAAUAUAACAGUUUAUAAGUUGUAAACCUAUUUAACUUUUUUACAGGAAUAGGUAAAUCCUUUCAAAGUAACCGUUAUCGAAUAUGUUUUAACGAUAGUCACGAUAAUAAGUGUAUGCGCUUAACAGGGAGAAUGAUUAUUAAGCGAUGCCCGGGAUCGGGUUCGCGCAAACAGAGACGUUUGAACCUAAGGAUCGGUACGGUUGAGGCCGUGUGAACGCGUUCGUGUCGGCAUUAAUUGAACUUUGCUCGAUAAGCAUUACGGGAUUUCAUGCAAAAGAAAAUCUUUCGGCGCGUUAAGAUCAUCCGGUGAGACAAGAAUCCUUUUUCUUCGAGUGUGUUCAUUCGGUUGGUUGUCGCGUUCACGCUAUGCGAUAAUUAGGAAACGAUUAAUUUCGCUCCGCGUAACACGUCGUUACAAAUGGGAUUUGAUACAACCAACAGUUUAUCUGAUGAACAAAAAACAUAUUACCCUGAGCACGAACGACGUAAUGCGGUAAAGAAAAUACGUAGUUAACAGCGCCAGUGAAACGAUAAAAGCUGUUGUUCCUGAAGGUGUAAAAAUUCGGCUGCGAUCGAGUCUCGUUUAUGCCUCUAAACGCAUAUGAAUAUCGCGUCAUUUGUUCAGGGCCUUCGAAUCGAGACUGAAAUUCGUUCGUUCCAAAUUUCAGAUUUUGCAGAUUGCGCGAUCUUCACGAAGUAUUCACUUUACAUCGGUAUUUAUGUAUCAGUGGAUUCUUGAGCAUGCUGGCUAAAAUACUUGCGAGACGUUGCGUUAUUUCUUUGCAGAAGAUACAUCUGUCAUUAGGUACUUUGGAUUUCUAGAGUCUACCCUGCAACACUCUGCGACCUUUCAUCCAUCCAAGAGGAGUUUACAUCCGCAAAAAGCAGGCGAUCAUUACUCUUCAAGCACCUUCUCAUAUCUGGUUUCCCAAGUUUCACCAUGUUCGUCUUCCAUGAUAAUGCUACAACUGAAUGAACGAACUACAAUGCUACAAUGAAAAAACCAUGAAACACGAAUCUAUGAAAUUUCGAUGAAAAAUUACAAACUGGUAGUUCUAGUAUCGAAA